UACGUAGGUGGCAAGCGUUGUCCGGAUUUACUGGGCGUAAAGAGCGCGCAGGCGGUCGGAUAAGUCGAAUGUGAAAGCCCCCGGCUCAACUGGGGAGGGUCAUUCGAUACUGCUCGACUCGAAGGCAGGAGAGGGAAGUGGAAUUCCCGGUGUAGUGGUGAAAUGCGUAGAUAUCGGGAGGAACACCAGUGGCGAAGGCGACUUCCUGGCCUGUUCUUGACGCUGAGGCGCGAAAGCUAGGGGAGCAAACGGG
rnacentral:rRNA from 1 species